CAACAAUGGGCCUCUGGAGUUUGUCCCUCUCACCUUAAUCACUGCGGAAUUUGAUCUCAGGGCCUUUCAUUCCAUUACUACCCCCCAUCUGGCCGCUGCCUGCAGGAGCCAGGCCGGCCCUGCGUCUCCCAUGGGACUAGAGGCCUGGGGAAAGAGUGAGGUGUUUUCCAUCACACCCUCCAUCUGAGCCAUCUUCGUUCACCACAGUCUCCUCCCUGCCUCCCUCUUUUCCCGCUUGCUGGUCAGUCUAAGUGAGACCCACCCAGACAAUGGUCAGUACCUGGGACUUCCAUCCUCCAUCGGCUUCAGUUUCUCUCUCUAUAAAAUGGGCUUGUUCCUCAGACUCACCCAUUUCCAGAGUGAUGACAACUCCAUCACAUCUAAGUCCCAGCUGUGUCUGCCGUUCCUCCCAGAGACUCUGGUGCCAGUCCUCCAGCCCCACACCCACCCUUGUGUGGAACGUGUGAAAAGUGGAAGGGGCUGCUGUUUUAUUCACUGUGUCUGACUACCUGGAAGUGUCUCAUGAGAAACUCAUUUCUUUGGCUUGAAUGCAAAGGCCCCUGGGAGUGGUCACACAUAAAGCUAUGGCCGGGGGUCGUGUCUUGAAAAAUAGGAAGGGUUUUAUUAGUGAAAAUGAGAAGGCAUGUACAUUUCGUGUACUGGAGAAGGCAGUGGCACCCCACUCCAGUACUCUUGCCUGGAGAAUCCCAUGGACGGAGGAGCCUGGUAGGCUGCAGUCCACGGGGUCGCUAAGAGUCGGACACGACUGAAGGACUUCACUUUCACUUUUCACUUUCAUUGGAGAAGGAAAUGGCAAGCCACUCCAGUGUUCUUGCCUGGAGAAUCCCAGGGAUGGGGGAGCCUGGUGGGCUGCUGUCUAUGGGGUCACACAGAGUCGGACAUGACUGAUGCGACUUAGCAGCAGCAGUACAUUUCAGUGGGAGCUCAGAUCUGCAGUAAGAAAGGGAGGCAUGGUGUUGGAGGGAUCUUUAGAAAGUACAGAUUGUCUAGGGGAGGUUGGCAAACUUUUUUUGCAAAAGGCCAAAUUGUAAAUAGUCCACAGAUAAGAAAAGUGUGUCUGGAAGGGUCUUUGGGGACCACAUGGUCUCUGUUGUGGAUGUACUCACACGUGAUAAAUUGCUUCAGUUCUGUCCAUGUGACUCUAUGGACUGUAGCCUGCCAGGCUCCUCUGUCCAUGGGAUUCUCCAGGCAAGAAUAUUGGAGUGGGUUGCUGUGCCCUACUCCAGGGGAUUUUCCUGAUCCAGGGAUUGAACCCAUGUCUCAUGUCUCCUACAUUGGCAGCCGAGUUCUUUACCACUAGCGCCACCUGGGAACCUUAUGGUCUCUGUCACAACUAUUCAGUUCUGUUGUAGUGCAAAAGCAGUCAUAGGCAGAAUUAUAUGUUGAGUUAUAUCCCCCCAGAUCUAUAUAUUGAAGUCCUAACGCCCAGUAUCUCAGAAUAUGAAUACAUUUGGAGAUGGGGGUCUUUAAACUGGUGAUUAAGUUAAAAUGAGGUCCCUAGGUGGACCUUGAUCCAGUAUGACUGGUGUCCUUAUAAGAAGAGAUUAGGACAUAGACAUGUUCAGAGGGGAGGCGACGUGAGGACACAGGGAGAAGACAACCAUCUGCAAGCCAAGAAGAGAGGCCUCCAGAGAAACCAUCCUUACCGACACCUUGGUCUUGGCCCUCCAGCCUCCAGAACUCUGAGAAAAUAAACGUUUUCUGUUAAGCCCCCUGAUUGCUGGUACUUGGUUAUGGCAGCCCUAGCAAAGGAGGCAGUGUGUACCUGUUUGAGUGUGACCAUGUGCCAAUAAACUUUAUUUAUGAACACUGAAA
ensembl:lncRNA